CCUACGGGUGGCAGCAGUGAGGAAUAUUGGUCAAUGGGCGUAAGCCUGAACCAGCCAAGUCGCGUGAGGGAUGAAGGUUCUAUGGAUCGUAAACCUCUUUUAUAAGGGAGCAAAGGGCGCCACGUGUGGCGUUUUGCGAGUACCUGAAGAAAAAGCAUCGGCUAACUCUGUGCCAGCAGCCGCGGUAAUACGGAGGAUGCGAGCGUUAUCCGGAUUUAUUGGGUUUAAAGGGUGCGCAGGCGGAAUGUCAAGUCAGCGGUAAAAUUUCGGGGCUCAACCCCGUCGUGCCGUUGAAACUGGCGUUCUUGAGUGAGCGAGAAGUAUGCGGAAUGCGUGGUGUAGCGGUGAAAUGCAUAGAUAUCACGCAGAACUCCGAUUGCGAAGGCAGCAUACCGGCGCUCAACUGACGCUCAUGCACGAAAGCGUGGGUAUCGAACAGGAUUAGAUACCCUAGUAGUC
rnacentral:rRNA from 1 species